AUGUUGCAUGGAUCCUAUUCGUCCCUGGGUUUGCAGCACCUGGCUUUCUCAAGACACUCUUUCUUCCUGCUAUUUAAAUUUAUGAUCAAGGCGAUGGCACCCCACUCCAGUACUCUUGCCUGGAAAAUCCCAUGGACGGAGGAGCCUGUUCAAGUACCUGAACACAAGAAUCGAGGGCAGAUUGGAAAUCUUCACUGA
rnacentral:lncRNA from 1 species